rnacentral:rRNA from 1 species
GUGGGGAAUCUUCCGCAAUGGACGAAAGUCUGACGGAGCAACGCCGCGUGAGUGAUGAAGGUCUUCGGAUUGUAAAGCUCUGUUAAUCGGGACGAAAGAGCCUAGUGUGAAUAAUGCUAGGAAGUGACGGUACCGGAAUAGAAAGCCACGGCUAACUACGUGCCAGCAGCCGCGGUAAUACGUAGGUGGCAAGCGUUGUCCGGAAUUAUUGGGCGUAAAGCGCGCGCAGGCGGAUCUGCCAGUCUGUCUUAAAAGUUCGGGGCUUAACCCCGUGAUGGGAUGGGAACUACAGAUCUAGAGUAUCGGAGAGGAAAGUGGAAUUCCUAGUGUAGCGGUGAAAUGCGUAGAUAUUAGGAAGAACACCAGUGGCGAAGGCGACUUUCUGGACGAAAACUGACGCUGAGGCGCGAAAGCCAGGGGAGCGAACGGGAUUAGAUACCCUGGUAGUCC